AGCGAACGCUGGCGGCGUGCCUAACACAUGCCAGUCGAACGUGAAAGGGAGCAAUCCCAAGUAAAGUGGCGUACGGGUGAGUAACACGUAGGUAAUCUACCCCAGAAUCUGGAAUAACCGGCCGAAAGGCUGGCUAAUACUGGAUAGAGCGACGGAAUCCGUAAUUGGGUUUUUCGGGAAAGGGAGCCUGUAAAAAGGCCUUCGUUCUGGGAUGAGCCUGCGUCCCAUCAGCUAGUUGGUGAGGUAAAAGCUUACCAAGGCAAUGACGGGUAGCUGGUCGGAGAGGACGAUCAGCCACACUGGAACUGAAACACGGUCCAGACUCCUACGGGAGGCAGCAGGGGGGAAUCUUGCGCAAUGGACGAAAGUCUGACGCAGCAACGCCGCGUGAGUGAAGAAGGCCUUCGGGUUGUAAAGCUCUGUCGAGUGGGACGAAAAUGCUUGGAGUUCACAGCUCCAGGAACUGACGGUACCACUAAAGGAAGCACCGGCUAACUCCGUG
rnacentral:rRNA from 1 species